ACUUGGUGAUGUGGGCAUUUGCACAGAAGGUCCCUAAAGUGCUCCUAUGUCUCAAAAAACUCUUCCCCAUCCAAUUGGGAGAAACUGGUGAUCACCAUCCUAAGCU